UGUCACUGAAGUACAGAAAGACACAAACUUUCACUGUGGUGUUUCAUACUAAACAACACAGACAGUUUCUUCUUAUCUUCAAGAUGGUGUCAAUGCAAUUAAGUCUGUUUUCAACUUUGUUUCUGAUCACACUAACAGGUGUCAGCUGUCAAGAACUCACUCCAGUCAACAAUGAAGAGGACAGUUUAGAAGGCAGCACUGUUACUCUGUCCUACAACUACUCCAAUACCAUAACUAAUGAAGAUUUCUUCUGGUAUCGACAAUAUCCAGGAAAACCACCAGAGUUCCUCAUGUACAUCUCAGGCGGUAGUUUCACAAGACCAGCAGAUUCUCUGAAGUCAGAAACAAGAUUCUUCACUGAACUGUUUGAAGACAAGCGUGGAGUCAAACUGCAGAUCUCCUCUGCUGCAGUGUCUGACUCUGCUGUGUACUACUGUGCUGUGAGGAUCAUCCUCUGCCAUUCUCCUCACUACACCUCCUGCCUGCUUGACAACCAUGGGGUCCAGAGCCUUCAGCUGUGCUGCCCCUCACCUCUGGACCUCUGUCUCCCAGACAUACGCAACACUGAUUCUCUCCCAACCUUCAAAUCCCGUCUCAAAACGCACCUUUUCAAAGUGGCUCAUUCCCUCUGA